rnacentral:misc_RNA from 1 species
GUAGGUGAACCUGCGGAAGGAUCAUUAACACGUAUCCAACGUUAAACAACCCUGUGAACCUUGAACGUGCUCUCGUACACGCUCUAGCAGCAAUCCCUGGUAAAUCAUUGUUGACCAGCUAUUGAGUCUGGGACUUCUGCUAGAAAACCAUACGAUACGAGCGCCAGAGUAAGUGCGGCCUGAUGGCGCAGUAAACGAUCGCUGUAGGCCCACACGGCCGGCGACCGGGCCUCUGUGCUUCGGCACCUAAUGACACCAGUUUUCUGACCCGGUGCGCUGUAACAACCGCACCACAAACUCGAACAACUGUUAACAAUGGAUAUCUUGGUUCUU